rnacentral:rRNA from 1 species
UACGUAGGGAGCAAGCGUUGUUCGGAUUUACUGGGCGUAAAGGGCGCGUAGGCGGCAAUUCAAGUCAGCUGUGAAAUCUCCGGGCUUAACUCGGAACGGUCAGCUGAUACUGCUUUGCUAGAGUGCGGAAGGGGCAAUCGGAAUUCUCGGUGUAGCGGUGAAAUGCGUAGAUAUCGAGAGGAACACCUGAGGUGAAGACGGGUUGCUGGGCCGACACUGACGCUGACAGCGCGAAAGCCAGGGGAGCGAACGGG